rnacentral:rRNA from 1 species
CCCUUAGAUGUUCUGGGCCGCACACGCGCUACACUGAAGGAGGCAGCGUGUACUCCUGGAUCGAAAGAUUUGGGUAACCCGCGAAUCUCCUUCGUGCUAGGGAUUGAGGUUUGCAAUUAUCCUUCAUGAACGAGGAAUUCCCAGUAAGUGCAAGUCAUAAGCUUGCGCUGACUACGUCCCUGCCCUUUGUACACACCGCCCGUCGCUACUACCGAUUGAAUGAUUUAGUGAGGACUUUGGACUGGGACCGAUGCGGCUUUCGGGCUGCGUCGGUAUUCUGGAAAGAUGUCCAAACUGUAUCAUUUAGAGGAAGUAAAAGUCGUNACA